GACAGAGGAUGCAAACGUUGCUCGGAAUUACUGGGCGUAAAGCGCAUGUAGGCGGCUUGGUAAGUCGGACGUGAAAGCCCGGGGCUCAACCCCGGAAGCGCGCUCGAUACUGCCGAACUUGGGUCCUGAAGAGGAGAGCGGAAUUCCCGGUGUAGAGGUGAAAUUCGUAGAUAUCGGGAGGAACACCAGUGGCGAAGGCGGCUCUCUGGGCAGGUACCGAACGGCUGAGAAUGCGAAAGCGUGGGAAGCAAACAGG
rnacentral:rRNA from 1 species